rnacentral:rRNA from 1 species
GACGAACGCUGGCGGCGUGCUUAACACAUGCAAGUCGAACGGAAAGGCCCUGCUUUUGUGGGGUGCUCGAGUGGCGAACGGGUGAGUAACACGUGAGUAACCUGCCCUUGACUUUGGGAUAACUUCAGGAAACUGGGGCUAAUACCGGAUAGGAGCUCCUGCUGCAUGGUGGGGGUUGGAAAGUUUCGGCGGUUGGGGAUGGACUCGCGGCUUAUCAGCUUGUUGGUGGGGUAGUGGCUUACCAAGGCUUUGACGGGUAGCCGGCCUGAGAGGGUGACCGGCCACAUUGGGACUGAGAUACGGGCCAGACUCCUACGGGAGGCAGCAGUGGGGAAUAUUGCACGAUGGGCGGAAGCCUGAUGCAGCAACGCCGCGUGCGGGAUGACGGCCUUCGGGUUGUAAACCGCUUGCGCCUGUGACGAAGCGUGAGUGACGGUAAUGGGUAAAGAAGCACCGGCUAACUACGUG